rnacentral:misc_RNA from 1 species
AGAGAAUGGCUAACAACGUAGCCAAUCCUGCCCUGGAUCCCGAUCUAGAUCAACCCGAUAAUCCUAAUCACAAGUUUGCUCAGUUCGGAGCAGGGUGUUUCUGGGGAGUGGAGCUGGCGUUUCAGCGAGUGGUUGGGGUGGUGAAGACGGAGGUCGGAUACUCUCAAGGUCACGUCCACGAUCCUAAUUACAAACUCGUUUGCACCGGCGCUACUAACCACGUCGAGGUCGUGCGCGUCCAAUUUGACCCUGAAGUUUGCCCAUAUACCAACCUCCUCUCUCUUUUCUGGGCUUGCCACGAUCCCACAAGCCUCAAUCGCCAGGGUGGUGAUGUGGGUGCCCAGUAUAGGUCGGGAAUAUACUACUACAACGAGACGCAAGCUCUUCUAGCCCAAGAAUCAAAGGAAGCUAAGCAGUUGGAAUUGAAGGACAAGAAGAUUGUCACUGAAAUUCUGCCAGCAAAAAGAUUUUACAGAGCUGAGGAGUACCACCAGCGGUAUCUGGAAAAGGGAGGACGUAAGGGAGCCAAGCAGUCUGCUGAGAAGGGUUGCACUGACCCCAUAAGAUGUUAUGGUUAAAAGCUGUAAAAGUAUGCCAAGUGUUAAAUUGUGGCUUCGUACUUGUUGAAAAUUGGCAGCAUUUUUCUGUAAUAUUUGUCUAUGCAUCUGAUGUUUCUCAUGGCAUCUUAUUGAUAAUAAGCUGCCCUAUUUUUUCUGCGUUUCCUUUCUCUGUUUCCUCUCCUGUUCAUUUAUUAAUACUUGUGAGCCGUGGCAUUUGAAAAUUUCUUGAGAACUUGGAUGCAUAGACAAAUAUUACAGAAAAAUG